GACGAACGCUGGCGGCGUGCUUAACACAUGCAAGUCGAACGGUGAAGGGACUGGUUUUGCUGGUCCUGGAUGAGUGGCGAACGGGUGAGUAACACGUGAGUAACCUGCCCCCUUCUUCUGGAUAACCGCAUGAAAGUGUGGCUAAUACGGGAUAUUCUGGGUCUGUCGCAUGGUGGGCCUGGGAAAGAUUGCGCCUUUUUUGGUGUUUUUGGUGGGGGAUGUGCUCGCGGCCUAUCAGCUUGUUGGUGGGGUGAUGGCCUACCACGGCGGUGACGGGUAGCCGGCCUGAGAGGGUGGACGGUCACACUGGGACUGAGACACGGCCCAGACUCCUACGGGCGGCAGCAGUGGGGAAUAGUGCACAAUGGGCGCACGCCUGAUGCAGCGACGCCGCGUGAGGGAUGGAGGCCUUCGGGUUGUGAACCUCUUUCGCCAGUGAAGCAGGCCUGCCUCUUUUUGUGGGUGGGUUGACGGUAGCUGGAUAAGAAGCGCCGGCUAACUACGUG
rnacentral:rRNA from 1 species